rnacentral:rRNA from 1 species
AGCAGCCGCGGUAAUUCCAGCUCCAAUAGCGUAUAUUAAAGUUGUUGCAGUUAAAAAGCUCGUAGUUGAAUUUCGGGAUUGACACAUCGGUCGUGCCUUAAGGGGUAUGAACUGGUGUAGUCAAUUUCUCACCUUCUGGAGAACCGCGAUGCCCUUAAUUGGGUGUCACGGGGAACCAGGACCUUUACUUUGAAAAAAUUAGAGUGUUUAAAGCAGGCAUUUUGCUUGAAUACAUUAGCAUGGAAUAAUAAAAUAGGACGGCAUGAUUCUAUUUUGUUGGUUUCUAGGAUCACCGUAAUGAUUAAUAGGGAUAGUUGGGGGCAUUAGUAUUCAAUUGUCAGAGGUGAAAUUCUUGGAUUUAUUGAAGACUAACUACUGCGAAAGCAUUUGCCAAGGAUGUUUUCAUUAAUCAAGAACGAAAGUUAGGGGAUCGAAGACGAUCAGAUACCGUCGUAGUCUUAACUAUAAACUAUGCCGACUAGGGAUCGGAUGAUGUUAAUUUUUAAUGACUCAUUCGGCG